rnacentral:rRNA from 1 species
GACAGAGGGUGCAAACGUUGUUCGGAAUUACUGGGCGUAAAGCGCGUGUAGGCGGCUAAGUAAGUCGGGCGUGAAAUCCCACGGCUCAACCGUGGAAGUGCACUCGAAACUGCAUAGCUAGAGUCCUGGAGAGGAAGGUGGAAUGCUUGGUGUAGAGGUGAAAUUCGUAGAUAUUGGGAAGAACACCGGUGGCGAAGGCGGCUCACUGGCUCAUUACUGACGCUCAGGCGCGAUAGCGUGGGGAUCAAACAGG